AACGAUCGAUGACAUAAAUAG
rnacentral:snRNA from 1 species